rnacentral:rRNA from 1 species
GACGAACGCUGGCGGCGUGCUUAACACAUGCAAGUCGAACGGAAAGGCCCUGCUUUUGUGGGGUGCUCGAGUGGCGAACGGGUGAGUAACACGUGAGUAACCUGCCCUUGACUUUGGGAUAACUUCAGGAAACUGGGGCUAAUACCGGAUAGGAGCUCCUGCUGCAUGGUGUGGGUUGGAAAGUUUCGGCGGUUGGGGAUGGACUCGCGGCUUAUCAGCUUGUUGGGGGGGUAGUGGCUUACCAAGGCUUUGACGGGUAGCCGGCCUGAGAGGGUGACCGGCCACAUUGGGACUGAGAUACGGCCCAGACUCCUACGGGCGGCAGCAGUGGGGAAUAUUGCACAAUGGGCGGAAGCCUGAUGCAGCAACGCCGCGUGCGGGAUGACGGCCUUCGGGUUGUAAACCGCUUUCGCCUGUGACGAAGCGUGAGUGACGGUAAUGGGUAAAGAAGCACCGGCUAACUACGUG